rnacentral:rRNA from 1 species
UACAGAGGUGGCAAGCGUUGUUCGGAAUUACUGGGCGUAAAGGGCGCGUAGGCGGCCUUCUAAGUCAGACGUGAAAUCCCCCGGCUUAACCUGGGAACUGCGUCUGAUACUGGGAGGCUAGAGUAUGGGAGAGGGAUGUAGAAUUCCAGGUGUAGCGGUGAAAUGCGUAGAUAUCAGGAGGAACACCGAUGGCGAAGGCAGGUCUCUGGGCUGUAACUGACGCUGAGGAGCGAAAGCAUGGGGAGCGAACAGG